UACGUAGGGUGCAAGCGUUAAUCGGAAUUACUGGGCGUAAAGCGUGCGCAGGCGGUGAUGUAAGACAGUUGUGAAAUCCCCGGGCUCAACCUGGGAACUGCAUCUGUGACUGCAUCGCUGGAGUACGGUAGAGGAGGAUGGAAUUCCGCGUGUAGCAGUGAAAUGCGUAGAUAUGCGGAGGAACACCGAUGGCGAAGGCAAUCCCCUGGACCUGUACUGACGCUCAUGCACGAAAGCGUGGGGAGCAAACAGG
rnacentral:rRNA from 1 species